AAUGCAGAUUAUCAGCCCCUGAAUAAUCAAACUUAGUAAAUCUGGGAUGGGCAAUUCUUUUUUUUUUAAAGUUUAUUAAUUUAUUUUAUUUGAGAGAGAGAGAGCGAGCGAGAGAGAACGUGUGCCUGUGAGCAGGAGAGGGGCAGAGAGAGAGGGAGAGAGAGAAUCCUAAGCAAGCUCUGUGCCAUCACCUUAGAGCCUGAUGCAGAGCUUGAUCCCAUGAAUCAUGAGAUUGCGACCUGAGCCGAAAUCAAGAGUCAGAUGCAUAACUGACUGAGCCACCCGUGUGCCCCUGGGAUGGGUAAUUCUUAUGGCCAGAAAAGGUUAGGAAAUACUGCUCUAUUCCAUGCUCAUCACAAUGUGUUGCAACUGUCUCUGUUGGUGGCCAUGGUAACCAUCUGGCCUGCUGGACUGUCUCUUGAGGGCAGUACCACAUCUACCUCCAUAGCACAUUGAGCAAUGUCUGGCACAUACAUUGAAUAAAAGAGUCAAUCAACGGAGAAACCAUGCAUCAUUUGAAUGACUUCACAGUCCAGAGAGUUCUGGCUUACUCAUCAUGCUAUUACUCCCUGCCAAGGUAGCUUCACCUACAUCGUCUGGAGGCAGGAGUCAUGGAAAUGGUUGGUAGUGAAGGUCAAGAUCACAUUGGGGGAGAGCUGAAAUCAAAUAACAUUAUCUGAUGCUGUGGUGCGAGAACAUGGACAUCCGAGGGAGGGAAUGUUUGGGUUUGGGUUGGAGUCCUUUCCCUGUCAUGUAUCCACUCACAACCUUAGCGAGUAAAUGACUUUUCUGAGUUUCC